rnacentral:misc_RNA from 1 species
GGGAGCUGUGAUUUUUCAGGAACUGCUACUACUAGUGCUAAUCCCCCUUCAAGUGUAGCUUCUGGGUGUGUGUAUCCUACAAGCAAUACAGGGACAGGCACCACUGCCCCAACAACUAGCACGGGCACGGGCACUGGCACUGGGACAGGAACUGGAACGAGCACAGGCACGGGAACGAGCACAGGCACAACAGGAAUAACUCCAACUUUUGGUUUGGGCCCAGCAGGAAGUGGUACAAGCAUUGACAGUAAUGGUGGUGUGGCUCCCAUUGAAGGCACUAGCAUGUUCUUGGCUUCACUGAGCCUCUGGUUUUCAGGCCUGUUUUU